rnacentral:sRNA from 1 species
CUAAGCCUGUUGCUGUUGUGUGAUCAGCAUGGUUUCCCUAAAAUUUGCCUUUUCAGAUCCCGUCUCUAAGGGUCAGGAAGCACAGGGCGGCUGGCACACCCCGCCUCUAAUUCUUCCCUCCGCAGCCCUCCCCACCGAAGAACGGGGCUGGGGGGUUGCUUGUUGACAUUUUGAAGACGGCAGUGGGUGCCUUUCCUGUGGAAGCUCUUCGUGGGCGGUCUUGACUGGAGCACGACCCAAGAGACUCUGCGCAGCUACUUUUCCCAAUAUGGAGAAGUCGUAGAUUGUGUUAUCAUGAAAGAUAAAACCACCAACCAGUCUCGAGGCUUUGGGUUUGUCAAAUUUAAAGACCCAAACUGUGUGGGGACGGUGCUGGCCAGCAGACCGCACACGCUAGACGGCCGAAACAUCGACCCCAAGCCAUGCACACCCCGGGGGAUGCAGCCAGAGAGAACACGGCCGAAGGAAGGAUGGCAGAAAGGACCCAGGAGCGAUAACAGUAAAUCAAAUAAGAUAUUUGUCGGUGGAAUUCCUCACAAUUGUGGUGAGACAGAGCUCA